rnacentral:misc_RNA from 1 species
AACGCACCUUGCGCUCCCUGGUAUUCCGGGGAGCAUGUCUGUUUGAGUGUCAUGAACUCCUCAACCCAUCAGUUUCUUGUAGAUUGAAUGGUGUUUGGAUUUUGAAUGUUGCUGGUCUCUCGAGACGUAGCUCGUUCGUAAUAUAUUAGCAUUUCUAAUUCGAACUCGGAUUGACUCAGUGUAAUAGACUAUUCGCUGAGGACACUUUUAUUAGUGGCCGAAUGAGAUAAUUGUAGACGCUUCUAACCCCUAUAGUCAACUUUGUAUUAGACCUCAGAUCAGGCAGGAUUACCCGCUGAACUUAA